UAACGAGGCUACUUCCUUGCUCUAUUCAUCAACUCAUUUAAAAGUCCAUAUUUUUUUUUCCAAGAUUUUAUGCCAAAGACCAUCAUUUUGACCAAAGCUUUUAAAUUUCCAAACCACCUUUUUCUUUUGACCUAAACUGUGGCAUAAAGUAAACAAAACGAUAGAACCUUAAUUUUUUUUUCAAUAAUUGAUGAAAGAAACAUAUGAUAGUGUUGUUAAUUUUUUUUUUUUAAGAAGCUGACAGUGUUGUUCCCGAAUGCAAAAAUAAUUAUUUGAUUCAUUAUCACAUCCAUGAUAAAUCGUCAUCAUCAUCACACUAUUAUUAUGCAUUAUUACCAUUUUCCUUACAUGAUUCUCUGUCAUGGGCCUAAUAUAAUAGAGCUCUUUCACUCAUUAUCAUUAUAUUAGUAUAAAAUUGUUACGGUUUGUUGCAUGCUAUAUAUGUAUUGCACUCUAGAUUUGAUUUUCUUUUAAUCUAUUAAUAAAGCAAAUAUUAUCUAUAUUAUAGCGAUUGAUAAUUAUAAAAUAAAAAUUGUUGCUUUUCUAUGCAGAAUUUUGGUCUCUAAAGUGAGAAAAUAGAUGAAUAAAAAAAUACUAUUAUUUUAACAAACUCAUAAUUUACUAUAAUAUAAAUACAAUAACUACAUUAAUUUAUUAUUUAAUGAUGGAUAUUAUACUCUAAAAUGAGUUGGUCAUAUAUUUUAGAGAAGUCGAAUCCAUCCAAACACAAUAAAACACCUUACAUAAAUUUUAUCGAAAACAACUUGACAUUAACCACAUACACCUUCAUCAUGUUCCUUCUCCACCUACUAAUAAUGAAUUAGGUGUUAUUCUUGCUAAAUGAAAAAACAAACAACGUAGACCCACACACACUAGAAUCAUGUUCCUUUUCCAACUAAUACUAAACUAAUUAACCAAAAAAGUGUGUAACAUAUAAUUUUAGGUUCAAAUAUAUAUAUACCUGGCAGGCUAAUAUUUCGGGUUAGUUGGUAUUACUUUCUUGGAAUAGGUAGGAAUUGGUUUAUGAGAAGUUCCACCAUCAGCAAG
rnacentral:lncRNA from 1 species